CGCCACUGGCCGGAGAGGAAGGACGUGAGGGGAGUGCCAAGAUUCACCCCCCCACCCCCACAUCCUUCCAUUUAUUAGUGAUUUCACCAGGACGAGAAGUGAAUGAGAACCAUACAUUUCCACGCCCGCUAUGAUGUUCCCACGCCCAUCAUUUUGUUCCCACGCUUCCCACGACAUAACAGGUUUCCGAGUGACCUUGCAGGGAAACUAGUCCAGAGUGGAAAGAAGAGAAAGACCAAGAAUACACUAACAAGAUGGAAAAAAAAAAAGGAAAAUGAAGCCAGAAGAGGA